rnacentral:lncRNA from 1 species
UCGGCUUCCCUGCAAGGCACAGAAACAAAAGUCUUGUUCAGUUCCAAUAGUUCUGCUUUCAGUGACUACAGUGCUUAGUGUAGCCCUUAUAACUUUAUAGAAACAAUUACCAACUGAUUUCUUACUCAAAAUUAGACUAUAGAUAGGAGUUUGGGUAUCAGUUGGUUGGCAGUAUUUAAGAAUUCACAAAUGAGAGCCGUGCAUGAGUGUGGGUACAGACUGAGUCCUAAACAAGUUUGCCAUUAAGCAUUAGUUAAAAUGUCAGAAUCCCUGUUUAAUCUCCUGGGGUUUCCUCACCCCAGGCCUAAAACAGGCUGUGAGAAGAGACGUGCUUUGAGGACCCGGAAGGCACUGCUUUGUAAGAAUGUCAAGAUUAGGCUUUUGAAACCUUAGAUUUUCAAGUCAAGGACUUUGGGCCUCAAAUACAAAACGACACAUUUGUGACCUAAAUACUGUGCCUCACAGAUCCAUACAGCCCGUGGCUUUCUCCGACUGAACAGCUCACUGAACUCAGCUUACACCUGAGUAAGGGCGGUGGGGAGGUGGCAGAUGCGCGGGUUUACCUUGAUGACCUAAGAGUCACCUCCUUCAGGGAAGGAAACUGUCAUUUUAAACAUUGUUUAACAUUUUCACAAGGCGUUUAGAAAGCACUCCUGAUUUUAUUCCUAGGGAAUUUUUAGGAUUACAAAUUGAUGUCUUGUACUCAGAAUAUGGCCCGACACACUCAUCAUUGGGUUUUUCCCUUCUUCCCUUAGAGUGCUAGACAGCUUGCUUCUGCUUCACUGUCCACUUGGGGCUUGCUUUGGUUUUUGUUUGUUUGUUUUGUUUUUUGUUUUUGUUUUUUUGUUUUUUUGUUUUUCCAUCAAAUACGAGAAAGUUGAGGGAGUGGUAUAGCUACAUAUAUCCAUGUGGCUGUGUAUCUGUAUCGAUGCCUAAAUAUGAGUAUUCAGAGGAAAGGAAGGCAAGGGACUGCUCCCAUCAGUCCGGUGAGAGGAGGCUGGAGAGAGGAUACAGGAGGCUGAACCUGACCGGCCUUGUUGCAAGUGAAGGAUCUGGUGCUGCUUUUGCUGUUUGUCCUUUUUGAGUCUGAACGUUUUCUUAAGCUUUAAUCUUUAUCAUUGUCUUAAAGUCAGCUGGUGUUUCUUGUACAUCGACUUUGGAAUGAUGGUGCUUUGCAAGGAUGUAUUUAUAUUAUAAUGGCCAACAUUUGGUCAGCCCUUGUCCGCUUAUUCACUUCCCCCCUUUUGUAAAAUAAGUGCUUUAAUUAUAAACUGUAUAAAUACCUUGUAUAACCCCCCCCCCUUUUGAUUAUUACAAACAGCUGAAUUGUAACAAAUGAAAUGUUGAUUUUUAUAAUAAAACAGUGGAAAAAUCAGUGG